CCUACGGGUGGCAGCAGUGGGGAAUAUUGGGCAAUGGGCGCAAGCCUGACCCAGCAACGCCGCGUGAAGGAAGAAGGCCCUCGGGUUGUAAACUUCUUUUAUUCGGGACGAAACAAAUGACGGUACCGAAUGAAUAAGCCACGGCUAACUACGUGCCAGCAGCCGCGGCAAUACGUAGGUGGCCAGCGUUAUCCGGAUUUACUCGGUGUAAAGGGCGUGUAGGCUGGAGAGCAAGUCAGCCGUGAAAUUGCAGGGGUCAACCCUGGUACUGGGUUUGAAACUGUUCUUCGUGAGUGAUUGAGAGGCAGGCGGAAUGCCGGGUGUAGCGGUGAAAUGCGUAGAUAUACGGAGGAACGCCAGUGGCGAAGGCGGCCUGCUGGACAUUAACUGACGCUGAGGCGCGAAAGCGUGGGGAGCAAACAGGAUUAGAUACCCGAGUAGUC
rnacentral:rRNA from 1 species